rnacentral:lncRNA from 1 species
ACGAGUUCAGAAUAAAUCUAAAUAAAUAGAAGAACCCCAAAAUCUAGAGUUUCAGAGGAACCCAGAUGAUGAGAAAGGCUUGGAUAGUCGUUGAUCUAAGCAGGAGGAGUCGAGAUCAGGCUUGAACAACCAUGGAUUUCCGGACCAAGGCCGGAGAUGGCCGUAGAAAUUGAAUCAAAUCAAGGUCUGGAUCAAGCUUCUUCGUAGUCAGGCCUCGAAAGUUAGUAACCAAGCGCGUUAGAUCCAUAGAAGACUAGUAGGUGGGGAGACCACCAUGGAUUCAGGCAAGGAGGUGGCCGGAGAAGGCGAGUGAAGCUCAUCUGAGCGGAGGGGAAGGGGGAAUGUUCUAGAGAGAACCAGAGAUAGAGAGAUAGAGAUGAGAGUCG